UUUGUACUUGUCAUCUCUUUUCCAGAAAUGCUUUCGUCUGCCAGGGCAGGUCUGUGAGUGUGUUGCACUCCUCUUUGCCAUAAUAAAAGAACUGUAUCUAAUAUCUAGUUGAUGUAACAUUGAAUGCCUUAGUAAGCAUUCUAUCAGCGAUAUAUGGAUAAAAAUUUUGUUUCAAAGUGCUUGAAAGCUGUAAUGCAUUCAAUUUUCUGCAGUAUUGUAUGAAGUAACCUGAAUUCUUUCUGGUUUAUUUUUGUGCCUUUUCAGGUGUUUCAUUUUGGUAGUGCUUGGUAUUGGAACAGUCUCUUGACUGUUCUUACUUGACCUGCAUCUGGUUUAGGAAGCUUGAAACAAAAAUCCAUUUUUGCAAUACUGAGGGUCAUGAGAAAGGACCUUCAUCUGUCCUGUGGGCUGUGCGCCUGACUCCAUAUCCUCAUCUGAGGAAUUCCCUGUCUACAACAGCAUCACAUAGUUGGUUUAUAUUUGUAUCUUAUGACCGGCUAAAAAUAUUCUCUUUCCUUCCCACUUACCUUCUAAGAUCUUUUUAAGCAGAAUUGGUAUAUAGCCACCUUGUAUGCAAUUUUGGUAUUUUUGUAGUGAAUUGUGCCUGCUUGACGGAGUAAAGAAAUUGUCCAAACUUAUGAAGGAAAUUCAUGUUUUCAGAAAAUAGUUUUCUUCUAUUAUUCUGGAUUGAAAGCUGAACAUCUGAAGCCACUUGCCUUGAUCUUUUGGAGGAGGCCUUUUUAUUUCUUGAGGAAAGAUUUUGUGGAGUCUUUUUAUGUGUAUUAAACAUCUCAUGUAUAAAAAUAGAGGGAAGCAGAAAAUAUCAAUAGGUAUGGAACAUAAUAUUUGAACAAUUAAGAAAUUAAUUAAUGUAAUGUGAUAGUUAAAAACUUAUACUCCUUGACUUGGACUCCUAAGUACUUACAACUUACAUUAUGGAAAGUAAAAUAUUUUUUCAGUGUCAGUUUUCAUUUUAGAAAGAAAACAUUGCUCUCUGAAAAUUCUUUCAAUUUGUAACCUAUAGCUAACUAAGUUGUCUAAUAGACAAGUACACCUAAAAAUAUAUAGGGGUAUUCCUUCUCCUUUCCCUGUGCCCAAUUAAACAUUGGCUACUGUAUAUAAAUAUUUUUCUUCUGUAGCAAUUACUGUUCCAAGACCUACACUGAUGCCAGGUAGUCACUUUCCAGAAGAUGUUAGCUUAGCCGUGCAUAGUUAAGCCCAUGUCCCUUCGGCUCUUCUCACUUCUAUAUUGCCUGCUAUUAUUGUAUUAUCCCUUGAGCACUGCACAUCCUGUGAAACAAGGUUAUCUGUGGCCAUGCAGAUUCCAAAGUGCAUUUAAAAAUAGAAUUUUUCUAAAUGUUUUGCAUGCUUUGGCUUUUCAGUGGAAUGUAUACAUUCACAGGCAACUUAAAAGAGUUGUAUUCAUACAUCAGAAACUUAAGAGCAUGUGUACAGGUGGGGCUGCUCCCCACACCUGUGGGAGCCUGCAGCGUUCCUGGAGGGAGAUUGUUUCAUCCAGCUGCCUUUGCCAAUCCAGUGCCACCAUCUCAGUACAUGUCAUGAUCUUUUGUCACCAGAGUGUGAUGGGGGUGUGUGCUCAUUCCUGGUGUGGAUUGAUAGCUUUUUGAUUGGCAUGGUGCAGCAGAAACAAUCACGCAAGGGUUCAAGAUCCAGGAUGCUACAUUUAAAUAUCUGUUUGAAAGAGACAAUAAUGACAGAUAUUUGGAAAGGAAGGAGCUGAUCCUGCUUGCUUUCGUCCUUCAGCUGCUGGUGGUUUUCUUCUUUACCCACAACAGGUGUUUGGAGUCUGUCCCUGUACAGUUGCAUGGCAUUUUCAGGUGGGAUAAGAUGUAUCAAGCAGCUACAUAAUCAACUUGGCCUUGCCUACGCACCCCCUGCUGCCUGAGCUGAAAGCUGCAAGCCAGUUAUGUUGGAUGCACUGGCAUGAAGCUCUUCAUAGUACAACCCCUGUAUUUCCAUACUUUAGAAUAGCAUUUGUUUUUCAUUGGCAAAAGUGGCAAUCAUUAUUUCCAAUAUGAGUUUAUCUAUUUUGACUUGGAUGUGUGCAGGACAAGAGAAAUCAUGAAUUAAAAGUCUAGACUCUAUCAGUAUUCUGGCAAAUGGUGAAACUGAGUGUGCAGUAAGAAACUUAUGUGAAAGUUCUGCUGCAGAGACUAGUUGUAGGAAAAUGUAUUAGCACCAAUUACAACAGUCUUUCUUUUUGGAAAGGUCUGCCAAAACCAUUGGUGAAGAUAAAAUCCAACCUUUCCUGUGGUUGUGUGCCAAAGAUGAUAUGCUAAAGGGAUCAUAGAAUUGAUGCCAAGUUCUGUGGGUUUUAAGAAUUGCUUGUUAACUAGAGGAGAUUUUUUUCUUAGAGUUGCAUAAAUUAACCUUUUUUCUAACAAUUCAUCUUUUGUUUAUGUGUUACUGUUUCUUGUUCAUUUGUACUGUCAUCAUCAUUCCCCCCACCCCUCAUGCACUAGUCACUUUUCAUACCACAGGGAGAAAAAUUUUGCAUCAAAAGGGCUGGCACAGCACGUGCUGCAGAUAAGAAUGGGAGUGCACUCUUGGAUCAGAUAAAAGGUCCGGAACUCGGUAGUCCUGACAGUGAUGAAUAACAUGGAGACUAUCAGACUCGUGUCCUGUAUACAGAGAACCUUCCUUGAUGUAGCCACAUACAAUUGAUUAUAAAUCCAUUCCUAGGUUUGUGGGGUUUUAACAUGUAGCUACUCAUAGCUAUAACAUUUAUUUUGUAGAAUAUUUAACUAUUUUUAAAUGUUCAUGGUAGACCCAAACACAAAAGCAUUUCUGGUAUCUUUCAGUCAAAGAAAUACUGGACUGAGAAAAGAAGGCACUAAUGUGUUAUAUUUUAAAUAGAGUGCAUUGUAUAAGCUUAGUGUUCAUUUACUGAGCAAAAGAAAGAAUGAGCAUAAAUUUGAAAUUGUGAGGAUCAUGUUGUUGAUACAUAUGGAUGUAACUAUUAUAAAAGACCUUAUUCUAAUGCCACUACCUGAUAAGAACAGCAAGAGAUGUAUGACCAGUGUGGGCUGCUGCCACUGACUCACUGUGUAAUGACAGGCAAAUUACUUGGUUUUCUGCAUCUUGUUCUAUUCCUUUAUAAAAGAGAAAUAGUUUCCCAGUAAAACUCUGAGAUCAUUGGAUAAAAGGAGAUAUUUCUUUUGAACGCCUACUGAGUAUAUAAAUUUGAAGAUAGAAAGUGCAGCGAAUACCAGGUUCUAUGCAAGUCUUUUACCAGUACAGACAUAGUAGGGUGAGUCUUGCUGCUCAUUAUGGAUUGUAUUAAGCCACAUUGUACUUUUGAAGACCUUUUAAUGCACAAACAAAAAUAGGGGUUUAGGUCAGAUUUAGCACUUCAGGGCAUAUUCUGUUCAGUUUCUUUUUGUAGUUAAGUACAGCUUCGAUAAAACUUCCCCUGUCAUCUGCAUUGGUAACUACUAUUCCUUUUCGUUUGAUACGCCAGACAUUGCACCACCUUCAGAUGAAACAGUACAGGGAGCCCUUUAGAGUAUUUUACUGUCAAUCUCCAUCACCUCUGUCAUGUUAUGUCUUUGGCUGCAUUUUAUCACUGAAAUUUCAUAAUGUUUUGGGAAAUUUGACCUUUUCAGAAUUGCCUGCAUUAAGACUAUAGUCUUAAUCUUUCCCCUGGCACCUCCUGAAACAAGAUACAAAUUAAUGAUUUGGAUACCACAAAACAAAUCAUGUGCCACUUGUUUCUUCCCAAUGAUUCUUCAUUGUCAUUAUUUGCUGUAUUGUAUGCAAGUCCUUGUGUGUUUGGCAGUGAAAGGGACCUAAAUAAUGCAGGAAAUUUUAAGGGAGGUCUGUAGCAGGUAAGUAGGGACAUGAUGCAAUAAUUUCAGGUGUAUAUAUAUUAAGAUGAUUUGGAUAAACAUAAAAAGAAAGGCAUUAUUUCAGCCUGAUGUAUGGAAAUUAACAGGUUUGAUGUGUGCUUUGUUUUUUUAAUAAAGUUGUACUUUUAUUAUGAUAGUCCAUAAGUAGCUGUGGAAAUGGUUGGGAAUACAUGAAAUUUCUGGUCUUCAAUGCUUCAAGGAAGAAUGUGCUGUUGCCUUUUUUGUGAUUGCUCCUCUGUUUUUGAACUUUCAUCUCCUUCCAUUCCAUUUGCCACCAUUUUUAAUUCCUUUUUACUUUGCUCACUUUCUUAGAUUUUUUCAUCACAUAAAAUGCUUGCUUUAGCUUCAUAAUUAAAAAAAAAAUCCCAUUGAUGAUUCUUGUUAUCAUCCUGUUUGAUCUGGUUCUGUUCUGCCCCAGAUUCAGGAAAUACACAGUUGAAAGCUUCAGUUUUGAAUUUACCUUCACAUUUUCUUCACCUUUUCACCAUUUUCCACCCAUUUGUUCUUUUCUUUAAACAUUUUCUUUUAACAAAAUGGAUGAGUGAAUGAUAUUUAUUUGGCUGGAUACUAAUACCUUUACUGCUUUCCUUUUUUUGACCACGAAGGAAGCCUUCCUCUCUUCAUGGCCACCUGCUGCCCUCCUUGUGCUGCUGUAGUGCUUUUGCUGCUGCACAGUGAGUCGUAUUGGGGAAUUGGUCUGACUGAAGAAUAAUUUUGCCAAAAUUGUGUUGCUUCUUAUUUCCCCACUCUGGUUUACCAUAUGGCUGUACAAAUGGCUAUGUCAGCAGUAGGGAGAGGAUGAUGCAAGGCUGGAAGGAAGAGGCCAGACUCAGGAGUGGGUCAGGGAUGCUGUGUUAGCUAACACUGCCAGUUUAUGUCAAAAUAGUUUGUCAGAGUAAAGUUUAGUUGUCUGCGAUAUUGUCACAUCCUACUUCUAGAAAUCCUGAUCUCUGCUACUUUUUUCUUUAACCUCUCUACCUCUCCCCCUUAUAUUUUUCAAAGCUCCUUGUUCAUCUCUUUCUUAGAAUAAGUGAUCCAUAACAGCAUCAAUAGAAAGCCUCCAUUUCUCAGUGUGCACAGGAGGUGGAGCCUGUUUCCCUCACAAUAGGUUGAAAACCUCCUAUUUGAAUAAUUUGUGUGGACAUCAUUAGUUAAACCUGUACUGUCAUUUGUACAUACCCAGAAAAUAAUUACAAUGAUGUUUAGACUGAUAAGCUGUUUAGGUUAGAUAUGUAUAAGUUAAAAAAAAUUAUUUAAACCAAUAGUUGUCCAAAUCAGUACAUUAUGGUACCUGAUUAUUGUGAAAUUUGAAAAACUUUAACCAUUUUGGUAGAAUCAUUGGUAAAUAAAAAAAAUGUAAUGCAACCUAACCUAUGCUUUCAUAGUGUCUUUCCAGCAGUGACUGGAUAUCUUGACAACAAAGUAUUUCAUAUCCCUGAAAUCAAUCACAAGAUGCUCUAGGCAAACAAAUGCACUAAAUAAUCCCUUUUUUUUCCUAAGUCUGCAGAGAUGCACUUCAUUACUUUGCAAAGUUAUUAACAAGCAGCAUGAAAGUGUUUGGUUUUUUUCUCAUUUCUGUGUUUCUUGGGGGAUGUUAGUUUUACUCUACAGAUAUUAAACUGAUAAUGAAAUGGUAAAAUGUACAUCUGAAUUUAAGUUACCUGCAAAUGCAAUAAUUUUCCUGAACUUAGGUUAAAGUGCACAAAAAUAUGUAUUCUCCUCUAAAUCCAUUUCUGCAUGCUGCCAUGUAAAUAGACUUGUUCCACACCACACAAUGGUGUGUCUACAUUUGUUGAAGUCUCAAAAUGUCUCAGCUAAUGUGGAAGUAUGUUUUUGUUGUUCUUAAAAAUUCAUGUAUAUUAUGUUCCCUCUAUUCCUGUACUUAUUUGGAAAAAAAUGACAGAAAAAGUGGCAUUGUUUAACAGGGUGAUGAACACCAUGGAGACAAUUUCUGCAGCUUUAUGUGUACAACCUUUUAGAAAGUAGUGAUAUUAGUUAAUCUCUGGUCAGUCAUAUGAGCUAUAGUUCAUUGUCUUGUCCAUGCCUGCUUUCUGGCUAUCAUAAUCCCAGUUAUUUACUUUGUAAUUUUCCUUUUGUUUCUAUACAAACAAAUCAAUGUUUGGUUCUUUCAAAGAUUGAGCUAUGAAGUAAAACAAGAAUCUGAGUUAAAUGCACUGAAACAGACAUGAGCUCACUCAGGCUGCACAUGACCAUUCAGUAUUGGGUUUUUUCAGUAAAUAGGUCAUUUUCCAAAGUUUAAUACCAGGAAUGGAUGCCCUGCCCUGAUGAAAGUGAACCACCAAAUUCCAAUGUCUUGAAGUAUAAUCCCAAAUUGGAAAUAGAAAGCAAACUGUCUGUGGCAUAUAAGGUGUAAAUAAAUAUGACAUUUUGCGGGUUCCUCUCUAGAUCUUCUCCCAAAAUAUCCUGUGGCCUUAUUAUGUGUAUGCUUGGGGAUCUGAUGCCCAUAUCAUGAGGCUGGCAGCACUCCUCUGGGAGCUCUUUCCAUUGCCUUCCUCCUAUUCUCAGUAGUUGUGUAAUGUCUUUCUAGCCUGUAUCAGUUCUGUAUCGCUGGUACCUGCUGAUAACAUGGAUCUUCCUGCCUACUCUUCUCCAUAAGCCCUUGAACACUGUUCUUUUUUCCCAGCUGAAAGGAAGGCAUGAUCUUCAUUCAGGAGUUGCUCUCAGAUUUCUCAGAUUUUCUUACAGAAAGGCGGAUGAUCUAAGACUGUGAAGAAAUUCUAAUUUGUGUUUCUCUUUAUAUACUUCCAGAGGACAGAUGGACAUGUCUGUUAUUUAAUAAUGCUUAUGUUACAUCCUUCAUGAGGAAUCAGAAUAGCUUAUAGCAGUCUGCCUGCCUGUCAGUAGUAGACACAAGCUUCUUGCUGAUUCUGUGUUAAAUAACAGGGAUUUCUGCUCUCUGGGCUCUAGCUUUCAGAAUUUGAGAACAGAAAAUUCUCAGAUAGGCAUUGUAGAUUCUUCAUACUCUUAGCUGCUGAGAAGCUUCCUCAGAUAUUUUUGGGUGACCUGGUAAAUAAGCAUGCUGUGCUGGUUCUUGGAGAAUGGGAACUACUUUUCAUAAUGUGGUGGUACUAAACUCUUUACCAUUGUCUCUCUUUGUGAUGUACUCAUCAUCAUACUCAUCAUUCUUAAGAAGUUGCCAGAGCAUCCUGACAACAGUUUCUGCAUCUGGAAAGGACAAGCCUUGAUACAUUUCUCUCCUCUGAAUAGUCAGAACUGAAGGACCCUUCAGAUACUCCUCAGCAUGAGACACCCUGCCAUCGGCUAAUGCUGAAGGAGUCAUGGUGCAUGGCACUGGCCACCCACUGUUCCAUGGGCAGUGCAUAUUCCUGGCAGCCUCAGUUCAGUGAUUGUGUGAUCCAUCUGGUGCUGCAUCACUUUUUCCUUGGUUUCACAGGCUCCAGCCUUGGACCUCCUAAGACUGACUUCUGGGGAGAAGACCUCUUAUAGCAGUGGACAAAACCAAAACUUGGCAAACCUCUAGUGGAUGGUGAAGGGGCUCAUUGAUCUGUUUUUUUACUCUCUUUGCCACUUCCUGGAGCUACCAAAACAUUUCCAGUCAUGGGUCAGCAGGAUCUGCUUCCUGUGAUCUAGGGAACAAUUGUGUGUUGUCACAUCUUUCCACAGAAGGUAUUAACAAUUUCAUGGUACAUUAUCAUUGGUGUUAGUGUGCUGACAGUUCUGAGACUCUUGAACUCUUGUUAUACCAUUUCAACAGCUGCAUGGUUGUACCUAGGUGACUACUCCAUAUGUGUUUAUCCAUGGCAACACACGCUUACUCCAGUGUACUUGUUCUGAAGUCAGUAUUGCUAAUGCUGCUGGUGUGGUAACUGGAGUUCAGAAGGAUCAAUUCACUCUGGACUUUGUUAGACAGAGUGCUCUGCAUAAUCAUAAUGCAAAUGUGAUGGCUUCAGAUCUCAUUUUUUAUUCAGUUAAAAAAUGUAGUUUCUAUGGCUGUUCCUAGGUUUAAUCUGCAAUGAGAGAAAAAUACUUUCCUUUUUGUGGGUUGAAGUUUUUUUGCUUUUUUAUAAUAUGGCAAGCUUGUUCAUCUCUGUCACUGAUUGUUUCAGAGAAGACAUAACUGGGAAAACUGAACUAAGAAGCCAGUGGUUUUGUUUUGGUGCUCUGCACUUGGUGAGCCUUGUUAUUCUGGGCUGUCCUGUACAUCUUUGCUAAGAGGAAGCGUGUUACAAAUGGAGUAUACCAAUGCAGUUUUGAAAGUACUGAAUUUCCUAAGGUUCAAAUUUAAAGUACUUAUUGCAGUGAAAGACCCGAAUGGAAGACUCAAAAGAGCUGAGUCUGAUCUGUCAUACUCUGAUAAGUCUGAAUUGCUGUUUAGAGAGAAAGUGACUGUGUCUCAUUGGUGAGUAUGGUGGCUAUUGCUUGUGUGAUACUAGUGUCUUCAUUUUCAGAAAAAACCUCUUCUGAGCAUUUCUGGGAGCACAGGGAAGAGUUUGUGUCCUCAGAUAAGCAUAGUGCCACUGUUCAGAGAGACCUUUGCUGCAGACCAACAUUCCUGCUGCUUCCACCUGUGGCUCCUUGCAGCUCCUUCUAGGGGACCUGGGCUGCGCUGCAGAGCUGCCAGCAGGGAAAAGUCCAUCUGAAUAGACUUGGAAAAUAGCAGAAACCAGUUGCUUGGUUUUCUUUGUUAAUGUGCAUGUUCCAUAUCCUGCCAUAUGUCUCUCUUCUGUAGCCUUAUAAUUCUGGGAUGCUAUAGAUGUAAAGAGUUUGGGAAAGCCGAGUUUAAUUACAAAAGUGUGCCUAAAGAAGCAGGUGUAAGAAAGCCAUUUUGGCCUGAGUGCAGAGGCACAUGAAUGACAGAGUAUUUAAACACAGUGCUCGAGGAGCAGUGCAGAUGUGCUGACUCAGCUUGUUGCCUUUUAAUGCCAUGUUAAUUUGUAUGUUGGUAGACUGUUCCUUCUCAGUGAACUUUGUACAAUAUUUUCACUGUAAAGAAAAGAUGAGUGUUGUCUUUUAUCAUCUGAGUGUACCUUCACACUUAGAAUCUUAGAAUUCUUUAGGUUGGAAAGACUCUUAAAGACCGUCAAGUCCAACAGUUAUAUAUCUAAUACAGUUUGAUAGAUAAAAAGCUUUCUUCUCUUUUUAAGCAUCAGAAAACUUAACUGGACUUACUCGUGUCACUAUCAACAUGUUUGUGCAUGCUGAGAAUAAACUUGUACUUAAGCAGUU